rnacentral:lncRNA from 1 species
AGGGUUAAUCAUCUCAUUUUAGUGGAGCCUUGGGGUUUCCCUGAACGACCAGACCUUGCUGAUCAAGACAGACCAAUUCCAGUUUGGAUCAGAGCCUUGGGAGCAGCAUUGACUCCCUUUAACCCUUUAGCUGGCCUAAGGAUUGCAGGACCCUUUGGUUUAAGUCUAGUGCAGCGUUUAAGGCCUGAUUUCAAACGAAAGUAUUCUUCAAUGUUCGAAGACGAUACUGUGACAGAAUACAUCUACCACUGUAAUGUGCAGACUCCAAGUUUCAGUGAUCUUUGGCGCCCGAUCCUGCAUAGAUGGCAAUUCUGGCACCAGCAUCCAGUCCUUACGACCACAUUCAUAUGUGAAGACAAUAGCUAUUCUUGGGGCAGGACAUUAUGUAUAUGCAGAUCAACCAGAAGAAUUCAACCAGAAAGUAAAGGAGAUCUGCGACACUGUGGACUGAACACACUGAAGCUCUGAUGGGAAAACCUGGUGACUGAUAUAGUUGUUCAGCAAUAAUUCAUAGUCUGUGAUGAA